UAACAACUGAUUUGUUGUCCUUUCCGUGUCGUUUCUUGGUAGGACAUCAUCUUCUGUAACGGUGUGUCACUCAGCUAGUUGUCCAUCGUCAUUUGUUGAGUUAAAGUCACCUGGUACCCCCGUCCAUGACAACAGAAGGAACCUAUUCAACAACGAAUAAAACACAUAAGGAGGCGGGAGAGAGACCUCACGUAGGGCCACUGCCUUACAUCCUGAAAUCAGCAGCAACUCAUUCACCCAGGAGGAUAAUGGACCUACAACAAUCCCAAUGACGUAACGACCAAAAGCCAAAGUUAUACAAAGUGGGGAAAGGGGGGGUCUAGUCGUCUCUGAUUGUGCAAUUAGGCACACCUGUGCAAUUGGACGGACCUACGCUACGCGGCACAGCUUUGCAAUUGGGCACACCUACGCGUCGCACAUGUGCAAUGAGGCACACCUAUGCACACCUGUGCCAAUUGCACAAACGGUUGCCCCGUCCCAAGGGCAACAUAUCGUCUCACUUUCUCGCUGCUUGGCGUUAAAUAAGCGCCUGGUUUAGAUCCGACCAGAUGACGAGUUGCUCUCUGACCACGGCUUUGGGAAGAAGUCCCGUUUCCUAAUUUCCUCUCCAGAUGGGCUCUCUAACCAUCACGUCUUAGUUUUUCCCCAGAGCAGACAACCAAAGGAAGAGGCGGCGCCGGCCUUCAUGAUCUUAAAGAGCGUGUUGACGUUGUUGGUCUUGAUGGCAUCACGGCAGGCAGAGAUCACCUGGUUCUUUGGCUUACCCACUGGGGAGAGACGGAGAGAAAGACGGGCCUUGAUGUGCAGGUCUACCGGUAUGUCCUUGGGAGGGACUAUGGGCACUCGGACACAGCCCGAGAGCUUUUGUGCGCUGGGGUGGACCACGUGGCUCUCUCCCUCGAAGAUCCCCUCGGCGAAGAUCAGCACUGAGCGGAUAAUGGUCUCUGAAGGGGGAUGGACCACAUGUUGAGUGCUGUGUCUGAGACUCUUUAUCAUCACUACACCCUCUGAGCACUUCCUUGUGAUUCUGCUGUAGUCCAGCGUGUUACUGGAGUGUGUAUCUGGAAGUACCGUUUGGCGUGGAGAUGCUGAGUUCUACAUGGGCCUUCUGGGCCUCGGUGGCGGGCCGGACAGACAAUGCUGUCUGGAGCUGAGUGUUGGCUGGUAUCACACCCACCUCGCUGUCCGUCUCGGUCACACCCUGAAACACAAGUAUAGAAACGGUGAAGGUAUCAAUAUAGUCAACAUGAUACGACCAUUUCUUUUUUAAUCCCAUUCAAUGCAGCCCAUCAAUUCAAAGCUAUUCUGAAAGUACCACCACCACCACCAUCAGAGAUUGCUCACCUUGGCAUUCUCGUCGUAGUUCCGUAGUUCCAGCAAGAGAUUCUGUCUGCGCUGGCUGAGCUCUCUGACCAGGUCCUGCUCUACACUGGACUCCAUCAGGUUCCCCUUCAGUUCCUUACUGGCUGGAAGGUAGCCUCGCACUGGAAGACGUACAAACCUGCAUGAGUCAUUGUGUAGCAUCAAGGUAGCCACUAGCGGUGAAGUUACCGAUGGCAACCAACCGAUAUCCCACUCAGCCCUCCUUUCCAAGGACUAAGGUGGCCUGGAAUGGCCUCUAUUGCGUAACUGGCCACUAGGUCCUUCUACAUUGAACAUGUUUGUUCCGUUCGUUUUUCCCCUCGUCAAUAGAAUGGUCUGCCCACGUAUGGACUGUACACAUAAUGCUCUAAGUACUGGCUGCAGUCUUAGUGCAAGACUGACAAUUUAUUGCACAACAUAGAAACUGUACCAAGACCAAAACAGGUUAUGGUUUACCCUCUCCCUCCGUGGAGGUGCAGAUGAGUUGGACCUGCCCGUCCAUCCGGUAGUCCCCCUCCACCACACCGGCCACCGACGAGGAGAAGUUGUCUUUGAAGAUGACAUCGCCCGUGCGGUCGCUACGGGCAUCGAUCUGAAAGGAGAAAAGAAAGCCUGUAUGAGGAAAGCAUUGGUUUAACCGUCUGGGUUCUAGUAGCUGGUGUAACAGCCAUCGUCUAUACAUGGUGAUACGUGGACACGUCUAAGGACCUUUCCGUUGGACCAGCCGGUGAUCAGUUCUACCACCCCAUCCCCAUUCAGGUCAAAGGCGUGGAUGCUCAUCGCAUGAUUCUUGGACUGUAACAGGGAUCGGAUGUGAGUUUAGGUUAUGUUAAGUCAGUAAUGAUAUUAAAGGAUAAUAGUUAUCCUAAUUUUAAUUUUCAACAUAACUCAUAAGUUACUCAUAAGCUAUUGCAAGAAACAUACAACAUUUCCAAAUACAAAAGCAUAGGAUGGAUGUUUGCAGUACCUUGAUUCUCCAGUAGCGGGCCGUCCGGUCAUAGACUCCCACUGUACCAUUGGCUAGGGCAUAGCCAAACCGGCUACCGUGCAUAUGGCACAGCGAGGUCACUGUCUGACACACGGGGACAAUACGUGAAACGGAAUCCAGUAUCAUCAACGAACUAUGUUCACUCUAUUUUACUAAAUGUAUAAACAUGCCCCUGCUUUUUACCUCAUUUUCUGACAUCUCGGAAACAAGCUUGUCUUCUUUGAAAACCCUGAUGUCAAAAUCCUCAGACCCGACUAAGAGCUUUGAACAGAACACACACACAAAUACACAUGAUAAUACACACAAUAGUAUACACAAAACAUUAUAUACACACACUACAGCACGUGACUACAUACCUUAUUUGCUUCAUAUUGUAUGCACUCAUAUCAAAUGUUAUGAAUGAAGGACAUGGUUCAUCCCAUAUUGACACCUGUCUCACCUCAUUCUUCCCGUCUCCGGUGAAGUCACAGAGCACCAGCGAUUGAACAUUAUCACCAGUAACCUAUGAUUAAAAAUGUAUUAAUGGAUCAACUAAAGUUGAAUCAAGUACAAAUAAUAUGCUGUAUGCUAUAGCUGAAGCAGGCCUCUCAAAGUCAAAUAAAAGGCAUUUGUAUCAUUUGAAGCAAAGGUGACCAAACAUGAAGCAUUACAAGGCAAUCAAAUUCAUGCAGAAUAUUUUAUUUAAAAUGAAUAGGUGAAUAGUAAUGCUCUGGAUAUGUCAUUAAAUAUGCAAUAGCAUAUGCCACAAAUUCUAAAGUUUAGAGACAUGGGAUUACAAGCCUUUAAAAUAAAGUCACUUUUGAUUAAGAUGUUGACUCUUUUUGGAUGGCUCCAGAAACUAGUACUGAGCUGAAUGAGGUCAACAACUAUCUUUAUAAUCACUCACUCAUGUACAUUAGUCAUCAUGAUGGAAGACAACGCGCACUACGGCCUCGAGGUGUAGAGAGCUGAUAAAGGUAACCAGCCCCAUCAUUAAAUCACAGUCAUCUGCACAAGGAAUGAUGUCAUUAAGUCUGGGCUUUCAGGUAUGUGAACUGCCAAUGAGGUACUAGCUUGGCCCAUACCGUCCAGAACAGGUCUUUGCCCUCAUAGUCGAAGCCUUGUAAGGCACAGUUCCCACCGAUGAUGGCCAGGGGAGAUUGGAUGUCCCCUAGUUUCCCCAGCACAAUUGCGUUGGCCCCAUCUGUAACCUAGACAAGAAGAUGUUUUUCAUUAUUGUAUAGUGUCCUAUUUAUAUUUUUUAAGAAGUAUUUAUCAGUUCUUGUUAGCAUGUGUUUAGUUUGAAGGAUUUCCUAUGUUGAGGAGUAGGAACAUAAAUGUUAAAAGCAAUGUGGUAUA